UACGUAGGGUCCGAGCGUUGUCCGGAAUUAUUGGGCGUAAAGAGCUCGUAGGCGGUCUGUCACGUCGGCUGUGAAAACCUGGGGCUCAACCCCGGGCCUGCAGCCGAUACGGGCAGACUAGAAUUCGGUAGGGGAGUCUGGAAUUCCUGGUGUAGCGGUGAAAUGCGCAGAUAUCAGGAGGAACACCGGUGGCGAAGGCGGGACUCUGGGCCGAUAUUGACGCUGAGGAGCGAAAGCGUGGGGAGCGAACAGG
rnacentral:rRNA from 1 species